UGCCCCGCGGAACCGCACCGGCAUCUGUGGGACACCGGCAGCCCCCGGGGAUAUCGGCUGCGCCCUUCUCCUCUUGGUCCCCACGAUCUAAUGUAGAGAGUCUCCUUUGCUUAAAAAAAAAACCCCAAACCGGUAUUUUCGUUUUGCUUCCAAAUGCUUAUACUUAUUCGUAAUUAAAAAGCCUUACGAUUUUUUCUUUAUUUAAAAUAUUUCCGAGUUGAGCAAACAACGGCAACGAGAAAUCCCUGUCCUGUGCUGUGGCAAAGACAAGUCCAGGGUGGCAGGGGGAGCGCUGGCAUUUUGGGGCGGUGUGUAUGAGAGCACGUCCCCCUCUGCUGCGGGGGGAUCGUUUGCAUCGUUGUUUUAUAAAAAAAUAGAUGUUCCUUGAAAGGGCCGGGGGGGAAUCUGUGUUUCGUUUGCUGCUUUGGAAGCCUAAGACAAGUUCAUUGUGAGAGAAGACAUGAAGGAGACCUGGUUCUGGCGGCUGCGGGGGGCAUCACGGAGGAAGGAACGAAAAUUCACCCAAACCGCUGUCUGAGGCCAAAAAUAGAAGCCACAUAAAGGAUACAGUCAAAAUCUGAGCCGAGAAAAACGCCUCGGGAAGCUAUUGCUGUGUCGUAAGGAAAACCAAAGGGCAAAGCGAGGUACGUCAUGGCUCAAUCCAAAAAGAAAGACAGGUCAGCCCACAGCAACACUUCCAGUGCCGCUGCGUCUGCUGCUGGAGAGGAUGAGACAGAAAACCUCACCUUGUGCUGGUGUUGGUGAGUCUUCUGCAUGCCCACUGCUAGCUACUGAGAUAGUGGUGCUUGUGGGCGAGGACUGGAUGCUGUGCUUGACUUGGCUUCCUUUGCUUUGCAGUGCGGGCAGAGUCCUGCUCUUAAAAAAAUAAAGAAAAAAAAAAAAGAAAAAGCCUCUUUUUGCAG